UACCCAACAGCUAGCCUUUUACUCCAAACUAAACAACCCCUGUUAAUAACCCCGAAAACACCAACUACCAAACAACAAAUCAUUUUCCCCUCUAAGUAUAGGCGAUAGAAAAGAAACUCAUUAGAGCUAUAGAAAAAGUACCGCAAGGGAAUGCUGAAAAAGAAAUGAAAUAAAUCAGUAAAGUUCAAAAAAGCAGAGACUUACACUCGUACCUUUUGCAUCAUGACUUAGUCAGUAUAAACCAAGCAAAGAGCACUUUAGUUUGAUUCCCCGAAACUAGGUGAGCUACUCCAAGACAGCCUAAAAAUAGGGCUAACCCGUCUCUGUGGCAAAAGAGUGGGGAGAUCUUAGAGUAGAGGUGAUAAACCUACCGAACUUAGUUAUAGCUGGUUGCCUAAAAAAUGAAUAGGAGUUCAGCUUUUUGGUUCUCCCCCUCAAAAAUUACUUUGUUUAUACCUGACCCAAGAGACACCAAAAAAGUUAAUUAAAGGAGGUACAGCUCCUUUUAAACAAGAUACAACUUCACUCAGUCGGGUAGAGAUCAUAAUUAUAUAAGGCCAAUAUGUUUUAGUGGGCCUGAAAGCAGCCACCUAUAAGAAAGCGUUAAAGCUCAUUCAUACCCCCGCCCCUAAUUUAGAUAACAAAUCUAAACCCACUAAUUUUAUUAGGCCGCCCCAUGCUUACAUGGGGGCGACUAUGCUAACAUGAGUAAUAAGAAAAGACAGCUUUUCUCCUUGCACACCUGUAAAUCGAAACGGACCCCCCAUCGAACUUUAAUCGGCCCCAAAAAAAGAGGGUAAUGAGCCAAAAUCUCAGUAACAAGAAAAACACCCAAAUACCAACCGUUAACCCCACACUGGUGUGCUUACAAGGAAAGACUAAAAGAAAAAGAAGGAACUCGGCAAAUACAAGCCUCGCCUGUUUACCAAAAACACCGCCUCUUGUAUAUAGAAAAUAAGAGGUCACGCCUGCCCUGUGACAAAAGGUUUAACGGCCGCGGUAUUUUGACCGUGCAAAGGUAGCGCAAUCACUUGUCUUUUAAAUGAAGACCUGUAUGAAUGGCAUCACGAGGGCUUAACUGUCUCCUUUUUCAAGUCAAUGAAAUUGAUCCCCCCGUGCAGAAGCGGGGAUAUAACCAUAAGACGAGAAGACCCUAUGAAGCUUUAGAUACAAAACAGACCUUGUUAAACACUUCAAAACAAAGAAAUAAACUAAGAGGAUCCCUGUUUUAAUGUCUUUGGUUGGGGCGACCACGGGGGAACAAAAAGCCCCCAUGCGGACUGAGAAAACAAUUCUCACAACCAAGAGCUACAACUCUAGUUAACAGAACUUCUGACCUUGAGAUCCGGCAAUGCCGAUCAACGGACCGAGUUACUCUAGGGAUAACAGCGCAAUCCCCUUUUAGAGUUCAUAUCGACAAGGGGGUUUACGACCUCGAUGUUGGAUCAGGACAUCCUAAUGGUGCAGCAGCUAUUAAGGGUUCGUUUGUUCAACGAUUAAAGUCCU
rnacentral:rRNA from 1 species